AGUCCCGCCUCUCCCCGACGCUUCCGCCGGCGGCCCAGUCCCUUGCCCUGGGACCCCAGCCUGUAGUGUUUGGAGACCCCGGCUCCUCUUCUAUUUCUCUUGAUCUGGGGUCCGGCUGGCGAUAGUGUCCGCGGUGCGCCCCUUUCUCUUGGUCGUUUAUGACGCCCACGUCGUCUUUUCUUCAGGUGACAUCCAGAAGGCAACUAAAAAUGUGAAUCUGAAGCUCUGGAAACAGCAUCAGAUUGGAACUACAGAUUUGAGAGCCUUGAGAAUUGAUUACAUCACUCAUGAAGAACAUGCGCGAAAGGUCACCCGUUGACGGGAUGCUUGGGGAUUUGCAACCGCCUCAUCGCUGCCCCCUACCGGCGCAUAUUCAAAACGUCUCUGCGAAAAGCUGUUAUUACCCUCGGAGCCAACAGGGGUUGCUCGUUUACCCACAGACAGUCGGAAAAAAUGGCCGCCGGAUCACAGAGAGCAAAAAGUACGUUCUCUUAAAGAAUUUCCAAGUUCUUCCCGCGGCCGUUCAGGAUGCUGCUUGCAGUUACCAACACUAUUCCCCUGCACUGAGCUGACCUGAGCUUCCCUGCCUACCUCCUGUCACGGAUGUCACCUUCUUUCACCCCUGUCCUGUCAAGGUUUUUGCUUUAGAAUGCUAUAGACCAAAGACGGGCUAAUCAACAGUCUUACACACAAAUCCUUUCGUUCUACUUGGCUACAAGCAGGGCUAAUCUUCCGAAGAGGAAUCCCACUACUGCCUCCUUAUAAGGGAAAAACUCCUCUCAGAGGAACCCAGAACGCCCUGUGAUGACAGAGGUGAGGGGCCAGCGUGGCGGAAUGCACCACCCUGUCUCCUCGCUUGCUUCUCUCUCCGUCGGAUUGCCAAAAAGGGAACGGCACCUAGACUCCGAAAAGUAAUGGAAGCAAAGGGAGUUUAAAGAACGCGCCCAGCCGCCUGGGUCUUGAACCCAGUGUUAAUGAGAGCAAAAACCUCUGCAUCCUCCACUGAGCUGUCCUUGAGCAUGUCUCAUAAUCAUGCUUCAUUUUAAAAACAGAAAUAAGUGAAUAAGCUAUGAAAGAAGACAACCUUUAAAUUUUUCAAAAGUUCUUGGUGGUCUGUGAUUAGAAAUUUCAUCUAUAUGAAAUAACUGUUUUGGAGGGCUUACUGUUAAAUUCAGGCAUUUUAGGGCCAGUGGAAAUUGGUUAAGCAUUCACAUCAGUCCAUUAAUCUGAUAAUCUACUGGGAGUUUAAAGACUCUAAGCACUAAACACAGAUUUUCCUCACUGUCUAUAAAAUGAAAGAGGAAAGAAGCAUUGUACUAAAUUUUUUAUAAAGCUAAUUGUAUUCCCCUUUUUUUUUUUUUGAGGUAGUUCAUUGCAUUUUGAACAAGGAUAACUGUCAGAAAAGAUCCUCUUUGAAUAAAACAGAUAUCUCCCCCAUGGCUGCUUCUGGGUCUGCCCUCUGCAACCACAUGGAAUAGGUCUGAUUCCGGUUCUUCAGGACAACUUUUCAAGAAUUAAAAAAUCACCUCCAAAUGAAUGCAUUUUUACAAAAUGAAAAUAGGUAGAGAUGCUAUUUUAAAAAAAAAUCUUUACCUUCUCACCAACCUUAAAAUAAGAAGCAAAAUAAUUUUGGUAUAUCUUUUUUUUUUUUUUUUUAAGACAGAGUCUUGCUCUGUCUCCCAGGCUGGAGUUCCGGGGAGCGAUCUCUGCUCACUGCAACCUCUGCGUCCCGGGUUCAAGCGCUUCACCUACCUCAAGCCUCCCGAGUAGCUGGGAUUACAGGCACACACCAGCAUGCCCGGCUAAUUUUUGUAUCUCUUGUUUUUCACUAAAUGGAUCCCUGAAUUGGACCCAGAAUGACUUAGCUAUGGAUGUAAGAACUGCUUUUGAGUAGCUGCCUCCAUUAGCCCUGGGGUUCCUACUUCCUGAGUACCAUGACCUCCGGGAUAACUCAGCUUUGUGGAACUGAGGUGCAAUAGGCAGCAUAAUGACCCCCUCCCCAAAGAUAUCUAUGUGCUAACUAACCAAGGAAUGUGGACAGCCCCCCUGAAGCUGGAAAAGGCAAGGAAAGGGAUUCUCUUCAAGAGUUUCCAGAAGGAAUGCAGCCCUCUUCACCCAUUUGGUACUUCUGAUCUCCAGAACUCUUAAAUAAUAAAUUUGGCCGCAUGUAGUGGCUCACACCUGUAAUUCCCAGCACUUUGAGAGGCCAAGGAAGGUGAAUUGCUUGAGCUCAGGAUUUGGAGACCAGCCUGCACAAAAUGGUGAAACCCUGUCUCUACAAAAAAUAUGAAAAUUAACCAUGUGUGGUAGUAUGUGCCUGUAGUCUCAGCUACCAGGGAGGCUGAGGUGGGAGGAUCACCUGAGCCCAGGAGGUUGAGGCUGCAGUGAGUUGUUAGUGUCCCACUGCAUUCCAGCCAAGGGGACAGAGUGAGACCCCAUCUCAAUAAUAAUAAUAAUAAAUUUAUGUUGUUUAAGCCUCUAAAUUUGUGGUAAUUUGAUACAGCAAAUUACCACAGAAUAGGAAAGUAAUACAUGGGGGGAAUCAAGCUCAGUCUGUAACUGACAAAACUCUGAGAGGUCAGAAAGGUAUCCUUUCAGUAACUGUCUUCUCGAACUCCUGACCUUAAGUGAUGCACCUACCUCAACCGUGCCCAGCCAGUAACUGUGUUCUUUAACAUACUUAUACUUUAAAAAAAAAAACAACUUUUAAGUUGAACACAUUUUCACAUUGAUAUUUUUUUCCGUGUGUGUGUGUGUGUGUGUGUGUGUGUGUGUGUGUGUGUGGACUACACUUUUAAGUUUUUAAUUAUGUUUAGGGUUAAGAUUAGGGUUGUGGUGGAAUAUUUUUGACAUAUAGUGACUUUAAACUUUUAUGGGCUGGGCGCAGUGGCUCACGCCUGUAAUCCUAACACUUUGGGAGGCCGAGGCGGGCAGAUCACCUGAGGUCGGGAGUUCAAGACCAGCCUGACCAACAUGGAGAAACCCCCAUCUGUAAUAAAAAUACAAAAUUAGCCAGGUGUGGUGGUACAUGCCUAUAAUCCCAGCUACUGGGGAGACUGAGGCAGGAGAAUCGCUUGAACCUGGGAGGCAGAGGCUGAGGUGAGCCAAGAGUGAGCCAUUGCACUCUCAGCCUGGGCAACAAGAGUGAAACUCGGUCUCAAAAACAAAACAAAACAAAACAAAACAAAAACAAUACCCCUUUAAUGUAUUCAGAUCUGUUAAUCUAAUCAUUUAUGUUUUCUGCUUUUGGUGUUUUGCUUUGAAUGGUCUCACCCAUGCCAAGAGGAUAUAAAUAUUCACAUAAAUGUUUAUGACUUCUAUCUUUUAGAGUAUGUACUUCACUGAUUUAAAAAUAACAUCCUAGGCUGGGCACAGUGGCUCACACCUGUAAUCCUAGCAUUUUGGGAAGCUGAGGCAGGCGGAUCACGAGGUCAGGAGUUUGAGACAAGCCUGACCAACAUGGCGAAACCCUGUCUCUACUAAAAAUACAAAAAUUAGCUGGGUGUGGUGGUGUACGCCUGUAAUCCCAGCUACUCAGGAGGCUGAGACAGGAGAAUUACUUGGACCCGGGACGUGGAGGUUGCAGUGAGCUGAGAUUGUGCCACUGCACCCCUGUCUGGCAGUCUGGGUGACAGAGUGAUACUCUGUCUCAAAAAAAUACAUAAAUAAAAUAAUAUUCCUUGUCCAAAACAAUGUUUUCUUAUUCUAAAAAUCUAUUUUUUUUUUUUUAAGAGAUGGAGUCUUGCUCCGUCACCAGGCUGGAUUGCAGUGGCGUGAUCAUAGAUCAUAGCUCACUGUAGCCUCACUCCUGGGUGCAAGCCUUUUGCCACAGCCUUCCAAGCAAUUGGAACUAUAGGCACAUGCCACCAUGCCCAGGUUAAAUUUGUUUACUAGUAAUAUGAGAACUGUUAAAAAAAAAAAAAAAACUUCAGACAAAUUAAAUUUUUCAGAGUCUUUUUGACCAAAGAAUGAUUCAUGAACAGGACAGCACUCAGAACCAGAAGAGAUUCAGAGCGUUCCACAUUGUGGGCAGAGACUAUUCACAGAUAGAGAAGGGAAGUGAGAUACUGAAACAGCUUGAUUGGUUACAGCCAAGUAUUUGCCUUAUUUGGACAUGGUUUGCUCAAUUAACAGCCUAUGAUUAGCUGAAGCUUGGCAGCUGUGAUGGCUGAGACUCAGCUAUUUGUUACAAGAAUAUACUCGUAAGCUUUCGAUUUGUUUACGUACCAAAUUGGAUUGUUGUUCAGUAUUAAGGGACUCAAGGUACAGCAGCAGCCU